rnacentral:rRNA from 1 species
AACGUAGGUGGCGAGCGUUGUCCGGAAUUACUGGGUGUAAAGGGAGCGCAGGUGGGCGCGCAAGUUGGACGUGAAAUCUAUGGGCUCAACCCAUAACGUGCGUUCAAAACUGCGUGUCUUGAGUGGAGUAGAGGCAAGUGGAAUUCCCGGUGUAGCGGUGGAAUGCAUAGAUAUCACGAGGAACUCCGAUUGCGCAGGCAGCUUACUAAACUACUACUGACGCUCAGGCACGAAGGCGUGGGGAUCAAACAGGAUUAGAUA